rnacentral:rRNA from 4 species
CGCCUGGGGAGUACGGCCGCAAGGUUAAAACUCAAAUGAAUUGACGGGGGCCCGCACAAGCGGUGGAGCAUGUGGUUUAAUUCGAUGCAACGCGAAGAACCUUACCUGGUCUUGACAUCCACGGAAGUUUUCAGAGAUGAGAAUGUGCCUUCGGGAACCGUGAGACAGGUGCUGCAUGGCUGUCGUCAGCUCGUGUUGUGAAAUGUUGGGUUAAGUCCCGCAACGAGCGCAACCCUUAUCCUUUGUUGCCAGCGGUCCGGCCGGGAACUCAAAGGAGACUGCCAGUGAUAAACUGGAGGAAGGUGGGGAUGACGUCAAGUCAUCAUGGCCCUUACGACCAGGGCUACACACGUGCUACAAUGGCGCAUACAAAGAGAAGCGACCUCGCGAGAGCAAGCGGACCUCAUAAAGUGCGUCGUAGUCCGGAUUGGAGUCUGCAACUCGACUCCAUGAAGUCGGAAUCGCUAGUAAUCGUGGAUCAGAAUGCCACGGUGAAUACGUUCCCGGGCCUUGUACACACCGCCCGUCACACCAUGGGAGUGGGUUGCAAAAGAAGUAGGUAGCUUAACCUUCGGGAGGGCGCUUACCACUUUGUGAUUCAUGACUGGGGUGAAGUCGUAACAAGGUAACCGUAGGGGAACCUGCGGUUGGAUCACCUCCUUACCUUAAAGAAGC